GCAUAUCAAUAAGCGGAGGAAAAGAAACUAACAAGGAUUCCCCUAGUAACGGCGAGUGAAGCGGGAAGAGCUCAAAUUUGAAAUCUGGUGGCCUCAGGUCAUCCGAGUUGUAAUCUAUAGAAGUGUUUUCCGUGCUGGCUCAUGUACAAGUCCCUUGGAACAGGGCGUCAUAGAGGGUGAGAAUCCCGUCCUUGACAUGAACUACCAGUGCUCUGUGAUACAUUUUCAACGAGUCGAGUUGUUUGGGAAUGCAGCUCAAAAUGGGUGGUAAAUUCCAUCUAAAGCUAAAUAUUGGCGAGAGACCGAUAGCGAACAAGUACCGUGAGGGAAAGAUGAAAAGCACUUUGGGAAGAGAGUUAAACAGUAUGUGAAAUUGUUGAAAGGGAAACGAUUGAAGUCAGUCGUGCUCUUCGGAUUCAGCCGGUUCUGCCGGUGUACUUCCUUUGAGUGGGGUCAACAUCAGUUUUGAUCGCUGGAUAAAGGCUGGAGGAACGUAGUACCCUCGGGUAAACUUAUAGCCUCCUGUCACAUACAGUGGUUGGGACUGAGGAACGCAGCACGCCUUUAUGGCCGGGAUUCGUCCACGUACGUGCUUAGGAUGUUGACAUAAUGGCUUUAAACGACCCGUCUUGAAACACGGACC
rnacentral:rRNA from 1 species